GUGUUGUAUGAAAGAAGUUAGCAUUCUCCUUAGAUGGGAUGAGAAGAUUCUAGACACCUAUACAAAAGAUUCAUGUUUAAGGUAUUGCCACUUACUUUGUGGCAUCUAACCAUAUCUUUUG